AAAUGCAUUACUCUGCACAACUUUUAUUUUGAAAGUGUCAUCCUGUUUGAUUGGAGUAGGAGUAUGUCAUGCAUGCUAAUGUCUUAAAGAGGAAGGAAAGGAUAAUUUUGUCUCAGCGACUUGUGCCCUGAAUAUGUUGGAUAUUGGCAUACGCACGGUUCAUUGUUUCUACAUUCACACAGUUACUUUUAGAUUCUAUAGAUAUCUUUAACUAGACCUCCAUCCUUAGCUCGCUCAUCUCGUGAAAUUAGUGAUGCACCUUACGCUGUGGUAAUAAUAAACCCUUUGGACUCAAUUCAAUUGUCACGGUUCAAAUAAGAAUAUUUUUAUUAUGGUUAUUCAAACAGAUUUGUUCCAAUGUAGGUAUUCACCAGACAAAGAGUGAGUUGUUGUUUAACAAAGGCCUUGGGAACAGCAGGAAGGAUGUGGGUGGGUGCUAUCUGGUCUCUGGUGUGGGCUGAAUCAUUGGUUUGCCACAAAAAGAGAUGGGCGAUGCAAUUUAAAAAUGCAUGAAAUAUAUGUGCUAUUGUGCCAUAAAUAUCUGUUUCAAGUUUAAGUGAUGUGAGAUAUGCUGGAAGUUUGAGUCCAAAAUAUGAGUCCAAAAAGUGUCUAGAGAAUUAGAUUCAGGAAGCACACAUUUCACUCUGAGGUUUCCAUUAACACUCACCACAUUAACUCCAGCAACAGAGUGUGGACAAACAAGCCAAGUGACAUUGUCUCCCAUCAACAAAGUGUGAGGACAGGAAGUGAUAGUGACCUGUAUCAUCCCCUGUAGUUUGAGUGACAACCAACACCAUGCCUACGUCUGGUAAAACACUGAGUUCAUUCCAAUUCUCUGCUAUCAGUUAUCAUUAAUGUGCCAAUAGGACUACAAGUCUUUCUGUGUGUAGUCAAUGUUGUCCUUGUUUCAUCUAUUGGAUGUCUUUACCUAAUUCUAACCCCGGGCAACCCCAUUUCAACAUCUUCUAACUAGUUUAACGGAAUAUUCAGAUCAGGUCUUCAAAGUUUUAAGUGUAUCCGGCUGGGAUGAUUCUUUACAUCACCACAGCAGAUCUUACAUUCCAACCAGAGCCGGGCAUGUUUUCUAGUUCUAAUGUAUCUUAAAGAGGAAGAAUGAAGAAAGAACUCCUCCCACAGCUACUUGGGACCAGACAAUUUGUAAUACAUAUGUGCCCACCACUGCCAUCAUGUUUCCUCCUUGCCAGAUAGUUGUCUUACAAAAUUUCAACCCUUUGCUAUGUAAGUAUUUUUUACGAGGUCUUGCUAUAUUGUGUUUGGUACUAUGUUCUAGAGAAAGAAACCAUCUUUUUAUUGAUGAUAAUGAUAAUCAAAGGAACCCAGGUACUGUGAAGCAUUACAAAGUAUAAAUGUGUUUUCAGUGUUACACAGACAGUUUGAUCCGUUCAUUUUCAUUUGUAGUGAUUGUUCACCUCUCAUUUGAUAUGUGAUGCAGAGAGAGAGAGAGGUAAAACAAUGUCUUUGAGAACAGCUGGAAUUGUGUUGAUGGUCAUAUUCUGGUCUGUGACAGGUCAGGACUAUGGUGUGACCUACACCACUCACAGUAUCUGUGCCUUGAAGGGGUCAACAGUGGAGCUGAGCUGCACCUACAAGUAUCCAAAAAAGGAUAAAGUCACAUCAACCUUCUGGUUCACUAGAAAAGAUUCUCGGGGGAAAUUUGUGAGUCUGAGAGAUGAUGAUGACUACAAAAGUCGUGUGAAGUAUAAUAAUGAUGAACCAGAGUCCCGUAAAACUACGGAGAAAAGACACUUCCUAACAAUCGGGGGAGUCAGAGAGAGCGACUCGGCUAAAUACAUGUUCAGAUUCAUCACAAGUUCAAAUAAAUAUUUUGGAAAUACAGGCAUCAGACUUUCUGUCUCAGGCCUGCAGGUGACGUUUCCAAGCACAGUGAUAGAAGGACAGGGAGUUUCCCUGACCUGUAGCCCCACCUGUCCUCUAACUGACAACUCCAAACUCUCUUACAUCUGGUACAAGAACGGACACCUUCUAACUAACGAACACAAUGACCUAAACCUACACACAGUCAUUGGUGACGCGGACAACUACUCCUGUGCUGUAAAAGGCAGAGAGAUGCUCCGCUCUCCUGAAUUUACUCUCAAUGUCAGAUGGGAACAAACAUCUUUGAGGAAGCCAGUGGCAGGAAUCACAGUGAUUGUUCUGUUUCUCAUCUUCUGUCUCUCUGGAUUCAUCUGGUCCAAGAGAAAGGCCUUCAAAACCACCAAUGACACAAGAGACAUAUCAGAUAAUGGGCAGAGACAGUCUGCCCAUGUGUAUGAGAUCAUCUCAGACUUGGCCGUGGCCCCGACUGCAGCACAGACAACAGACACAGUCAAACAGGAAGACGCCUAUUACAGCAGUGUUCACUACAGAAGCCAGGACGUGCCUCUGUACUCCACCGUCCAACUGCCUGAAGCCCAGAAACAGGAAGGCCAGCUGGCUGCUGCAAAACUCAACCACCCCAGUGCCCCCAUCUAUUCAAUACAGCUCCCCCUUCACUUCACGCUGGCCAGUUCAACCUCACUCUUAGGCUUCAUUUGGUUCACAAGAACGACUCCAAAUCCACCUCUGACAGGCAAGAAUAAGCCGUGACUGGACAGACAGACUCCAAUCCUGUGUAUAGCAACGUAUCAGACAUGGCCUUGACCUCUACUGCAGCACAGACAGCAGACACAGACAACCAGGAUCUCCUCCAAUAUUCCAGUGUCCACUUCUCUUCCUCCAAGAAACAGGAAGUAACUCGGAGGAAGUAUAAUGCGGUCAGGACGCCUGCCCAGAUUACCAGUCCUUUUAAACCAACCACUGACCUGACUGUCUUCAGCUUUUCUUGUUUGGAACGAGAAACAGUAAAAGGAUCUCUUCCCUUCAUUCUGCGCCCCGUGUCCUGCCUCCUCAGCCGUGACAGAAUGACCGACCAAACCAGGACAAUGUAGCAAGCCACGGCUGAGGAGACCCACCGUGUGUUUGAGAAGGUUUGGGGUCGAUGUCCCUGGGUCCCUGGGUCCCUGGGUCCCUGGCCAGAGGAUCCAAAGCCCCAAAGCAGGCGGCAACACCGGCGGAAACCAAGUCGGAGUUCCCGGACGCAGGCCCAGCGACCAGCCCAAUAGAUGUAUCUAUUUUUUUUUGGGGGGGGGGGCCCUGGGAGCAGGAGUAUCCAGAGUCAUCGGAGGAGGAAGACGAGGUAUUCCUGCCACCACACUGGGAGGAGAGACUCUUCCGCCUCCCACGCUCGGGACCAGGUGCCACUUAUGCUACACACCACGCACCAGGGCUCCUGCAACGGUCCCCCUGCCCGGAGCCUCCCUCGGAGGGGUGGGACGACAAGCCACUGUCGCCACC